UCGGGACUCGGGGGCGGGUCGGCGCCAGAGACGAGAAGAGAGGAGGGGAGGCCUCCGCCGCCGCCGCCAUCUUGGACCGGGCCCGGUCAGCUUCCGCGGAGCCAUCGGCAGACGCCGCGGCCUCCCUUGAGCCCCGACCCCCGUCGUCAGAACAACCCCGGGCCCACUCCCCCAACCCCACUUCCGCUUCGCGCCGCUAUCGCGAUAGCGCCCGGGCCCGGGGCGCGAGAAAAAGGCGGCGGGCGCUCGCCUCCCCCGCCUGUCGCGAUACGCUCCUCAGCGGCGGCGCCAGCUCCUGUGCGUCAGCCUCCAAGAGAGUAUGAAGAGAGUGCGUCUGUAGGACAGGGAAGAUGGCGGACAAGCGCAAACUCCAAGGUGAGAUUGAUCGCUGCCUCAAGAAGGUGUCCGAGGGCGUGGAGCAGUUUGAAGAUAUUUGGCAGAAGCUCCACAAUGCAGCCAACGCGAACCAGAAAGAAAAGUAUGAGGCUGACCUAAAGAAGGAGAUUAAGAAGCUACAACGGCUGAGGGACCAGAUCAAGACAUGGGUAGCGUCCAACGAGAUCAAGGACAAGAGGCAGCUCAUAGACAACCGCAAGCUCAUCGAGACGCAAAUGGAACGGUUCAAAGUUGUGGAACGAGAGACCAAAACCAAAGCUUACAGUAAGGAGGGCCUGGGCCUGGCCCAGAAGGUAGAUCCUGCCCAGAAGGAGAAGGAAGAGGUUGGCCAGUGGCUCACGAAUACCAUCGACACGCUCAACAUGCAGGUGGACCAGUUUGAGAGUGAGGUGGAGUCACUGUCAGUGCAGACCCGCAAGAAGAAGGGCGACAAGGAUCAGAAGCAGGACCGGAUCGAGGGCUUGAAGCGGCACAUCGAGAAGCACCGCUACCACGUGCGCAUGCUCGAGACCAUCCUGCGCAUGCUGGACAAUGACUCCAUCCUCGUUGAUGCCAUCCGCAAGAUCAAGGACGACGUUGAGUACUAUGUCGACUCAUCCCAGGACCCCGACUUCGAGGAGAACGAGUUUCUCUACGAUGACCUGGACCUCGAGGACAUUCCACAGGCGCUGGUCGCCACCUCCCCCCCCAGCCACAGCCACAUGGAGGAUGAGAUCUUCAACCAGUCCAGCAGCACACCCACCUCGACCACCUCCAGCUCUCCCAUCCCGCCCAGCCCAGCCAACUGUACCACGGAAAACUCUGAAGAUGAUAAGAAGAGGGGACGUUCCACAGACAGUGAAGUCAGCCAGUCUCCAGCCAAAAACGGCUCCAAGGCUGUCCACAGCAACCAGCACCCUCAGUCCCCAGCUGUGCCGCCCACCUACCCCUCCGGCCCCCCGCCUGCUGCCUCUGCCUUGAGCACCACUCCUGGCAACAAUGGGGUCCCCGCCCCAGCAGCACCCCCAAGUGCCCUGGGCCCCAAGGCCAGUCCAGCUCCCAGCCACAACUCGGGUACCCCUGCCCCCUAUGCCCAGGCUGUGGCCCCACCGGCUACCAGUGGGCCCAGCACGACCCAGCCCCGGCCCCCCAGCGUCCAGCCUGGUGGAGGCGGCGGCGGCGGAGGCGGAGGGAGCAGCAGCAAUAGUAACAGCAGUGCCGGUGGAGGGGCUGGCAAGCAGAAUGGCGCCACCAGUUACAGCUCAGUUGUGGCAGACAGCCCGGCAGAGGUGGCUUUGAGCAGCAGUGGGGGCAACAAUGCCAGCAGCCAGGCCCUGGGCCCCCCUUCCGGCCCCCACAACCCACCUCCCAGCACCUCGAAGGAACCCAGUGCGGCAGCCCCAACAGGGGCUGGGGGUGUGGCCCCAGGCUCAGGGAACAACUCAGGGGGACCCAGCCUCCUGGUGCCACUGCCUGUGAAUCCUCCCAGCUCCCCAACGCCCAGCUUCAGUGAUGCCAAGGCAGCCGGUGCCCUGCUCAAUGGGCCUCCACAGUUCAGCACCGCCCCGGAAAUCAAGGCGCCCGAGCCUCUGAGCUCCUUGAAGUCCAUGGCGGAACGGGCAGCCAUCAGCUCUGGCAUUGAGGACCCUGUGCCAACGCUGCACCUGACUGAGCGAGACAUCAUCCUGAGCAGCACAUCAGCACCUCCGGCCUCAGCUCAGCCACCGCUGCAGCUGUCAGAGGUGAACAUACCGCUGUCGCUGGGUGUCUGUCCGCUGGGCCCUGUGCCCCUCACCAAGGAGCAGCUCUACCAGCAGGCCAUGGAAGAGGCCGCCUGGCACCACAUGCCCCACCCCUCUGACUCUGAGCGUAUCCGGCAGUACCUCCCCCGGAACCCCUGUCCGACGCCCCCCUACCACCACCAGAUGCCACCCCCACACUCGGACACUGUGGAGUUCUACCAGCGCCUGUCGACCGAGACACUCUUCUUCAUCUUCUACUAUCUGGAGGUACAGCAGGGCCCCCGGGGCAGCCUCAGGCCCCCCGGCUUCGCCGCCACCGCCGCCGUCCCCCCUCGGGCUGGAGGGGUGAGGGCACUAAGGCACAGUACCUGGCAGCCAAGGCCCUGAAGAAGCAGUCAUGGCGAUUCCACACCAAGUACAUGAUGUGGUUCCAGAGGCACGAGGAGCCCAAGACCAUCACUGACGAGUUCGAGCAGGGCACCUACAUCUACUUUGACUACGAGAAGUGGGGCCAGCGGAAGAAGGAAGGCUUCACCUUUGAGUACCGCUACCUGGAGGACCGGGACCUCCAGUGACACCGGCCCCUCCCUCUACCCACCCCCUUCCCCCGCAUGCUGAUCCCCCUGCCCAGGUGAGGGCCCUGCCCUGGAAGACCGGAGGGAGGCCCCAGGCCACGGGGCAUCCCCCUCUCCCAGGAAGCAGGGAGGGGGCCGGGAGGUUUUCCUCUCAGCCCCACCCUGGGGGCCCGGGGGCGAGGGCUGCCCCCUCCUCCCCUCCCCAGUGAGGGACAUUUUUUGGUAAACCUAUUUUCAUUUUGGAAAAUAUUUAUGAAUAAAUAGUUUUAUAUGACGGCUGGCAGCAGCGGCCUCUCCUGUA